rnacentral:rRNA from 1 species
GAUGAACGCUGACAGAAUGCUUAACACAUGCAAGUCUACUUGAACUUCGGUUUGGGUGGCGGACGGGUGAGUAACGCGUAAAGAACUUGCCUCACAGAUAGGGACAACAUUUGGAAACGAAUGCUAAUACCUGAUAUUAUGAUUUUAGGGCAUCCUAGAAUUAUGAAAGCUAUAUGCACUGUGAGAGAGCUUUGCGUCCCAUUAGCUAGUUGGAGAGGUAACGGCUCACCAAGGCGAUGAUGGGUAGCCGGCCUGAGAGGGUGAUCGGCCACAAGGGGACUGAGACACGGCCCGUACGCAUACGGGAGGCAGGAGUGGGGAAUAUUGGACAAUGGACCAAGAGUGUGAUCCAGCAAUUCUGUGUGCACGAUGAAGUUUUUCGGAAUGUAAAGUGCUUUCAGUUGGGAAGAAAAAAAUGACGGUACCAAAAGAAGAAGAGACGGCUAAAUACGUG